UCCGUAGGUGACCUGCGGAAGGAUCAUUGUCGAAGCCUGAAACGGACGACCGCGAACACGUUGUCACAGCCGUGCCGCGGGGAAGCCGAGCGGAGAGACUUAACCCUCCCCGUCGUCGUCCUCCCCCGGCGCGCCCCGUCCGUGCGGGCGCGAGAGCGCUCGCCCGGGCGAACACCUAACCCCGGCGCGGAAAGCGCCAAGGAAAACUCAAAACGAUUGCCCGGCCCCCGAUUGUCCCGUGCGCGGGGCGCAAGAGGGGGCGUCGCGGCAUCCGUCGUAACCAAAACGACUCUCGGCAACGGAUAUCUCGGCUCUCGCAUCGAUGAAGAACGUAGCGAAAUGCGAUACUUGGUGUGAAUUGCAGAAUCCCGCGAACCAUCGAGUCUUUGAACGCAAGUUGCGCCCGAAGCCAUUAGGCCGAGGGCACGUCUGCCUGGGCGUCACGCAUCGCGUCGCCACCCCCCCUCGUGCGGGGCGGCGGAGAUUGGCCUCCCGUGCCCGAAGGGUGCGGCCGGCCUAAAUGCGGGUCCUCGGCGGGGGCGUCACGACUAGUGGUGGUUGAAUUCCUCAACUCGAGUCCUCGUCGUGCCGUUCUCCCUCGCCGUCUCUCGGACUCACUCGACCCCCCGUGCGCGCGCCUCGAACGCGAGCCUCGACCGCGACCCCAGGUCAGGCGGGAUUACCCGCUGAG
rnacentral:rRNA from 1 species